UACAGAGGGUGCGAGCGUUGUCCGGAAUCACUGGGCGUAAAGGGCGCGUAGGUGGCGACCCAAGUCGAUGGUGAAAGCUCGCCGCUCAACGGCGAGUCGGCCACCGAUACUGGGUUGCUCGAGCACUGUAGAGGCUAAUGGAAUUCCGGGUGUAGCGGUGGAAUGCGUAGAGAUCCGGAAGAACACCGAUGGCGAAGGCAACCACCUGGGCCUGUACUGACGCUGAGGUACGGAAAGCGAUGGGGAGCAAACAGGG
rnacentral:rRNA from 1 species